GAUGAAGAACGUAGCGAAAUGCGAUAAGUAAUGCGAAUUGCAGAAUUUCCGUGAGUCAUCGAAUCUUUGAACGCACAUUGCGCCCACUGGUAUUCCGGUGGGCAUGCCUGUUCGAGCGUCAUUAUCCUCCCUCAAACCCCGGGUUUGGUGUUGGACCCAAGUUGUGUGAACAACUGGUCUCAAAGACAAUGACGGCGUCCGUGGGACCCUCGGUGCAACGAGCUUUUAGGAGCACGCAUCGAGUUGCAAGGACCUUCCGGGCCGGUCUCCUUUACCAUUUUACAAGGUUGACCUCGGAUCAGGUAGGAAUACCCGCUGAGCUUAAGCAUAUCAAUAAGCGGAGGA
rnacentral:misc_RNA from 1 species